AGCUGUAGAGAUAAAAACACAGUCCCGGUUGGUAGUCCGGGCCUGCCAAAGUUAAGGCAGAAGUAACCUUCCCUCCUGGGGUCGUCCAUUCUUUGAUAUUUGAUU
rfam:Clostridium tyrobutyricum DIVETGP, WGS project CBXI01000000 data, contig: NODE_14